rnacentral:misc_RNA from 1 species
GGGGGGGCGGGGGGGGGGGGGGGGAGGAGAGGAAGUGGUGCUAUUACGGAAGUGGCAUUGUUGUAUUUUGGAGCCAUAUUUCCAGAGUUAAGGAUGCUGAACAAUGGAUAAGUUACGGAUUUUUCUGGUUUUUUUUAAAGCAUUAAAUUUAAGCUUACUGCAGAACAAACUAUAAAUUUUGAGCAUUGUGACAUUUUUUUUGUGGGUGAUCCCUCGUGCCCUGCUUGGUGUGCUUUUUUACGUAAAAUUUAGGCCUUGCUUGUUGGCAUUUCU